rnacentral:misc_RNA from 1 species
GAUGAAGAACGCAGCGAAAUGCGAUAAGUAGUGUGAAUUGCAGAAUUCAGUGAAUCAUCGAAUCUUUGAACGCACAUUGCGCCCCUUGGUAUUCCAUGGGGCAUGCCUGUUCGAGCGUCAUUUGUACCUUCAAGCUCUGCUUGGUGUUGGGUGUUUGUCUCGCCUCUGCGUGUAGACUCGCCUUAAAACAAUUGGCAGCCGGCGUAUUGAUUUCGGAGCGCAGUACAUCUCGCGCUUUGCACUCAUAACGACGACGUCCAAAAGUACAUUUUUACACUCUUGACCUCGGAUCAGGUAGGGAUACCCGCUGAACUUAAGCAUAUCAAUAAGCGGAUGA